rnacentral:lncRNA from 1 species
CUGGAUAUCACCCUACGACACCUCACCAUCGAUAACCAUCAUGAUUCACCACUAAAGAGAGCAUCUAAUUCAACCCACAUUGGAAUCUUCCUUUGAGUCAUUUUCCUUAAAAGGGUUACAGCACUUCCAGCUCCAUUGAGCACUGGCAUAUCUUCUUUUAUUUAUUUUUUAGGUACAAUUUACGUACGGUAAAGUGCAUAAAUCUUAAGUGUUUUGCUUGAAGAAUUUUUACUUACAUGUAUACUCAUCACCACCUACCAGACGAAGAUACAGAACAUUUCCAACACUUCAGAAGCUUCUCUUAUGCCCAUUUCCAGUCUACACUGCUCCAAAGACUUGCCUCCAAAUGACUUUUAUAUGUAACUGUAAGAGCAACAUUCAAUCAGAAAAGCAGAGCCACUAUAAGUGAUAGAGAACAAGGGAUUUAUUUUAUGGAUUAAACUUACAUCCUUGUGGGAGCUGGUGAAGAUGCAUGUUGCCUCUGCCUCUGGUGUGGGUCUGAGGUCUCUUUAGAGCAGCAGGGCCCACAGUCAGGAAGAAAAUCUGACAAGAAGUGUGGGAGAGUGAGGACAAACUGGAGCCCACAUGAGUCUCUCACUGCCACCAUCAUUGACGAUGCGCAUGACCUGCAGAAGCUUUGCUGCGGAGCUACACCUGUGUCUGGUAUCUGGCCCUGGAGUCAGAGAAGCUGGAGCAGCAAUGCAGUGGCAGCUCCUCUGAGCCCUGCUGCUGCCCCAGGCCCACAGGGGAGCCCCCUGGAGCAGCAGCAACAUGUGCAAACUGCAGUGACACCUGACACCCUCCACCAACCUUUCAGAGCAUUAUGCUGCUGAUUCAAUUCCACCUCCCACAUCUUGCCUGAAAAUUUCUUAUGACGAACCCUAACCCAGCACUGUACAGGGAAGGACAUUCUGGGAAAUGUAGUUCAGCUUAGUAAACUGACACAGCACGAUACCAGCCCAGUUAUAAAACUCAAGCUGAUCUCCAAGGGAGUGUUUGCCAUCAUUGAAAGAGUCGAAAACAAACGCCAAUAUAAAAGUUUCCGAAAACGUUGGGCACAAGGAUAGAAUCUUUGGAAUGAGUGACAAAUGCUUCCAAGAAGUUCUGAUUGACUUUAAAAAAGGACAACGUCAAUUUGAAUGCAUAACAUUCUGGUUUCUCCACAGGGAGGAAAAAUGAGUCAUAUUAUUUUAUAGCCAUUCCUUCUAUUUUCAUCACUUUUCCCCUAUGGUUCUC